rnacentral:misc_RNA from 1 species
AACGCAUAUUGCACUCUCUGGUAUUCCGGGGAGUAUGCCUGUUUGAGGGUCAGUAAAUAAUAAUUAUCAUAAUCUUUUGAUUGUGGAAUUGGGCCUUUAUUUCAUUUUAAUGAUUUAUGGCCUUAAAUUUAUGUUACCGCUUGUUUAAUAUGAAAUUCGACCGAAUGGAGCAAUUAAACAUUCUCUCGUUAGGCGGAUUCAUCAAGCAAUUACGAUUUUUUGGCCGUCGAAGCACUUUUUUUUUAAAAGUGCUUGGUCGAGAUUGUAAGAUACAUUUUUAACAAUGACCUCAAAUCAGGCAAGAAUACCCGCUGAACUUAA